rnacentral:lncRNA from 11 species
CAUCAGCACUGGAAAGAUGGUGAAGGAGAACUGGAGAAACAAGAUUUGAAUGUCAGGUGUCAACAACAUAACUGCAGUAAAGAAUGCAGCUCGAGUUGGGGAAGAAUUGGGUUCUGCUCCAGCUGAUACUGCCACAGCAGUAUCCUGCCUUCAACAGGAAAGGCUGAAUAUCCCUCUUGAAUUGUGGUGCCCAGAAAUGUACACAGUAUUCCAGGUUAUUUAUUUGUCAUAUCAGAAGCGAAACAAUGUUCCAGGUGAGGUCUGACCAAAGCACAAUAGAGGGGCACAUGGUUUCCCUUGAUUUAGGCACUAUACUUUGAUGCAGGCCAAAAUCCCAUUGGCUUUUUUAGC